CAACCCAGACCGCCAGCUAAGGUCCCAAAGUCAUAGUUAAGUGGGAAACGAUGUGGGAAGGCCCAGACAGCCAGGAUGUUGGCUUAGAAGCAGCCAUCAUUUAAAGAAAGCGUAAUAGCUCACUGGUCGAGUCGGCCUGCGCGGAAGAUGUAACGGGGCUAAACUAUGCACCGAAGCUGCGGCAGCGACACUAUGUGUUGUUGGGUAGGGGAGCGUUCUGUAAGCCUGUGAAGGUGUGUCGUGAGGCAUGCUGGAGGUAUCAGAAGUGCGAAUGCUGACAUAAGUAACGAUAAAGCGGGUGAAAAGCCCGCUCGCCGGAAGACCAAGGGUUCCUGUCCAACGUUAAUCGGGGCAGGGUGAGUCGACCCCUAAGGCGAGGCCGAAAGGCGUAGUCGAUGGGAAACGGGUUAAUAUUCCCGUACUUGGUGUUACUGCGAAGGGGGGACGGAGAAGGCUAUGUUGGCCGGGCGACGGUUGUCCCGGUUUAAGCGUGUAGGUGUGUGUUCCAGGUAAAUCCGGUU
rnacentral:rRNA from 1 species